rnacentral:rRNA from 1 species
AACGAACGCUGGCGGCAUGCCUAACACAUGCAAGUCGAACGAUGCUUUCGGGCAUAGUGGCGCACGGGUGCGUAACGCGUGGGAAUCUGCCCUUUGGUUCGGAAUAACAGUUAGAAAUGACUGCUAAUACCGGAUGAUGACGUUAAGUCCAAAGAUUUAUCGCCAGAGGAUGAGCCAGCGUAGGAUUAGCUAGUUGGUGUGGUAAAGGCGCACCAAGGCGACGAUCCUUAGCUGGUCUGAGAGGAUGAUCAGCCACACUGGGACUGAGACACGGCCCAGACUCCUACGGGAGGCAGCAGUGGGGAAUAUUGGACAAUGGGCGCAAGCCUGAUCCAGCAAUGCCGCGUGAGUGAUGAAGGCCUUAGGGUUGUAAAGCUCUUUUACCCGUGAUGAUAAUGACAGUAGCGGGAGAAUAAGCCCCGGCUAACUCCGUGCCAGCCGCCGCGGUAAUAC